UACGGGGGGGGCAAGCGUUGUUCGGAAUUACUGGGCGUAAAGGGCGCGUAGGCGGCUUUGCAAGUGACAGGUGAAAGCCCUCGGCUUAACCGAGGAACUGCCUGUCAGACUGUGAGGCUUGAGACCGGGAGAGGUGAGUGGAAUUCCCAGUGUAGCGGUGAAAUGCGUAGAUAUUGGGAAGAACACCGGUGGCGAAGGCGACCAUCUGGACCGGAACUGACGCUGAGGCGCGAAAGCCAGGGGAGCGAAUGGG
rnacentral:rRNA from 1 species